rnacentral:rRNA from 1 species
CGCGUAGGCGGCCUGAUAAGUCGGGGGUGAAAUUCUGCGGCUUAACCGCAGGACGGCCUUCGAGACUGUCGGGCUUGAGCACGGUAGAGGCUGGUGGAAUUCCCGGUGUAGCGGUGGAAUGCGUAGAGAUCGGGAAGAACAUCGGUGGCGAAGGCGGCCAGCUGGGCCGUUGCUGACGCUGAGGCGCGACAGCGUGGGGAGCAAACAGGAUUAGAUACCCUGGUAGUCCACGCCGUAAACGAUGGGUACUAGGCGUCGGGGGGAGCGACCCCUUCGGUGCCGUCGCUAACGCAGUAAGUACCCCGCCUGGGGAGUACGGCCGCAAGGCUGAA